AAUUAUUACAAGGAAUCUUCAUAUAAAUUUAUUAACUAUAGUAAUGGACAUUCUACUUAUUUGUCAAUUAGAGAAAUGGAAAUUCCCAAACAUCACAAGUGGAUGGUUAAUAUGAUGGAUCCUGAUAAGAGAAGAGUAACAUAUGAGUAUAUGGCUGGUGUUUUUGAGUUUGUGCAAUUUUCUUGUGCACAAGAAAAAUUCAAAAAACAAGGAAAGUUGAGAUGCCCAUGUAAAAUAUGCAACUGUAAGAAAAAUCAGUUAGUAAGCGAUGUCAUGGGACAUCUUUGUAUGAAGGGAUUUAUACAGGGUUACUAUUAUUGGACUAACCAUGGUGAAAAAAGGCCUCCAAUUUCACCGAUAAUUUCAAACAACUAUUAGGGAUGUAGUUGGGUUUGGGAAUACUUCAAUGACUGUGAACAAAUGGUAAUGGAUGCAGUUGGACCAUCUCUUGGUACAUAUAUUGAGCAACAACAAAAUGAUUGUGGAGAAAAAAAUUAGGGAAGAUCCUAACCUAGAAGUCAAAAUCCUUUUUGAUAUGUUGAAAGUUGUGCAAGCCCCCUUAUAUAAUGGUUGUGAAAAUUAUUCUGAACUUUCUGCUGGAAUACAAGCUUUAAGUAUCAAGUAUGACUUCAAUAUCUCUGAGACCUGAUUUAAUCAAUGGAUGGAUUUUGUGGAAAAGGCGUUGCCAAAUGACAAUCGAAUGCUUGACAACUUCUAUUGUGAAAAGAAAUCAAUGGAAAAGCUUGGAUUGGGUUUCAUAAAGAUUCAUUGUUUCCCAAAUGGAUGUAUGAUAUAUUACUUUCGUGAUGAUAAAAAUCUUCGUAGUUGUAAAAUUUGUGGUAAAGAUCGUUACAAAAGUGUCAUUAGAAAUGGUAAGGUUAGAUAAGUUCCUUUAAAAAAGACGUGAUAUUUCCUUCGUAUCCCAAGGCUUCAAAGACUUUAUUGGUCAACGCAAAUUGUAAGCCAAAUGAGGUGGCAUCGUGAGAAUAUAAGAGAUUUGGGCUAUUUAUCACAUCCAUCUGAUAGAGAGGCAUAAAAGCAUUUUGAUGAAAGAUAUCCUGAAUUUUCAAUGGACACUAGAAAUGUUAGGCUAUGGUUGUGUGCUGAUGAAUUUGCAUCAUUCAAUAAAACAGGUAGGACAUAUUCAUGUUGGCCAGCAAUUAUUACUCCUUACAAUCUUACACUUUGGAUGUGCAUGACAAGGGAAGGUUGAUGUGUACAUGCAACCACUUAUAUAUGACCUUAAGCUUGUUUAUUAUGGACAAUUAAUGGCUUCCUUGCAUAUGGGAUGUGUCUCUGGUUGGAUGAUAAUGGGAAAACUUGCUUGUCCAAUAUGUAUGGAGAAUACAAAAGCAUUCACCCUUAGUCGAAAGACUACAUUUUUUUACUGUCAUAGAAAAUUCUUGCCCUUUGAUCAUUGCUAUAGAAGGAAUAAGAAUUCUUUUAGGAAGAGAAAAGAUGAGACAACGUUGCCACCACAAAGGUUGACAAAUGAAGAAAUAUGGGAAAGGGUUAAACAUUUACCAAGCAUAAUUGGACCUCUAUAUGAUAAUUUGUUGGGGUAUGAAGUUUUUUUACAAUUGGACCAAAAAAACCAUCUUUUGGGAGUUAACAUAUUGGAAAACAAAUUUUCUCCCACCUAAUCUAGAUGUCACGCAUAUUGAGAGAAAUGUGUUUCUCAAUAUAUUGUAUACGAUAAUGGAUACCAAGGGAAAGACGAAGUACACUUUUAAUGCUAUAUUGGACUUGGUAGAUAUUUGUAGACAAAAAGAUUUAGAUCUACAAGAUGGUAAAAGGGGAAAGCUAAAAAAGCCGAAAGCAAAUUACACAUUAACAAAACAACAAAGAUUAUUUGUAUGCGAGUGGAUAAAAAAACUAAAUUUACCAAAUGGGUAUGCCUCUACCAUGUCUAGGUGUGUUAAUAUGUGAGAAGCAAAGUUAUUUGGAAUGAAAAGUCAUGAUUGUCAUGUGUUUUUGCAAUGCUUGCUCCCAAUUCCAUCAAAGCUCUACCAAAACCUAUUUGGAACACACUUACAUAGUUUAGUCAAUUCUUUCGAGAGCUUAUUUCGCCUAUACUAAAAGAGGAUAAUAUACGUGUAAUGGAGCAAAAUAUUCCAAUCAUUUUGUGAGCAAAAUAUGCCUCUACCUUGUCUAGGUGUGUUGAUACGCGAGAAAAAAAGUUGUUUGGAAUGAAAAAUCAUGAUUGUCAUGUGUUCUUGCAACGCUUGCUCCGAAUUGCAUUCAAAGCUCUACCGAAACCUUUUUGGAACACACUUUCAGAGUUUAGUCAAUUAUUUCGAGAGCUUACUUCGCCUUUACCAAAAGAGGAUAAUAUACGUGUAAUGGAGCAGAAUAUUCCAAUCAUUUUGUGUAAGUUUGAACAAAUAUUUCCCCCUAGUUUCUUUGACUUUAUGGAGCUUCUUCCAAUUCAUUUGCGGUUUGAAGCUAAGGUUGGUGGUCUUGUGCAAUACUGAUGGAUGUAUCCUUUUGAAAGGUUGGGUCAUCUAUCAACAUUAUUAAUUAUUACCAUGCAAUACUUAUUGUAUUAAUUUCUUCAAAUACUUUUAUUAGGUUUAUUCGUACCUUAAAAGACAAGGUCACCAACACAACUGAUGUUGAAGGCUCUAUUUGUGAAGCAUACUUUGUGGGAGGACAAGAGUGCCACAAAAUGAUGAUGGAGGUGAAGGUUGUUUUGAUGAUGGAAAACACACCCCAUGUUUCUUAGAAAAAAGAGAAAUGAGAGUUGCACAAUUAUAUGUUCUUCUAAUUCCAUAAGUUGAGCCAUUUUUGUUGUAGGCACUUUUAUAUGUUCUUCUUUUAGUGACUAAUAACUUGGAAAAUUAAUAAAGUUGCUUAACAUGAGAAUUUGUUGUAGCAUAUAUAUAGAUUUACUACAAGAAAUUGGUGUAAGCCACUCAUUAGUUGACAAGGAAAUCUCUAAAUCAUUUCCUCAUUGGUUUAAAGAAUAUGUAUGGCGAACUUGAUCUUCCUAAUUUCAUAAUAUCACCCACUUUUUAUAUUAGGUGAAAUUAAUUUGAUCAUUUUCAAAUUAGGUUUCAAAAAACCAUGUUGAAGAUAACUUUUUUAGGAGUUUGGCGUAGGGGCCCAAGAAAAAAGUCAAUAAAUGGUCAAUAUAUUAUGUUAAUGGAUAUAAGUUUAGUACAAAAGACCAUGAUUUUUUUAUGAGCACAAUAAAUUGUGGUGUAUCUGUUCAAAGAGGUGACAACGAGACAAUAGAAAAUGAUUAUUAUAGGGUGUCAACCGAUAUUGUGGAAGUUUACUAUAUAUGAUGGCUAAUAAAGAAGUUGGUUUUGUUCAAAUGUGAUUGCUUCGAUCCUACUAUGAAUCAAGGGACAACGAUAGACAACUAUGGAAUUUUUGAAGUCCGAGCAUCUAGAAAAUAUAAAUAUUAUGACCAAUUUAUAUUUGCACAAGCAAAACAAGUAUACUAUACAUAAUACCCUGAAGGACAAAGUGAUUGGUGGGUUGUGAUUAAGACCAAGGCACGAAAUAGAAUUCAAACAAGAGAAACUAGUAAGCUUGAGAAAGAUAUUUCGUAACAAGAUGAAUCAAUCACACAAUCACAUGUGACAAUUGUGAAUGACAAUCUUGAAGAAAAUCUUGUUGAUUUUUUUGGAGGAGGAGGAGGAUUAAUUAAAUCAUUUACUAUGUAGUUUUUGAGUUUGUUAGAACUAUGCUCACAUGGUAGUGAAUUUCUUUCUAACUUCAAAUUUUUAGGGGAAGAGGUAGAGGAAUAAUUACAAGUCUGCCACUUAUCUCAUAUUCCCGAAUGAGGCCAACACCACUCAUGUCUCAACCAUUACAAAAAAAAACCCUAUAACAACCUCAUCUCCUCAACCUCAAAUUAGGCCACCACCAUUAUAUCUCAACCAUUACAAAAAAACCAUUGCAUCUGUCCCAUCUCCUCAAUCCCAAACUAGACCAACAACACUCAUAUCGCAACCAUUACAAAAAGUCGAUAUCGCUGUCCAAUCUCCUCAUUCCCAAACUGUACCAACAACACUUAUAUCGCAACCUUUACAAAAGUCGAUACAACAUCCCCAUCCCCUCAUUCCCAAACUAGACCAACAUUGCUCAUAUCUCAACACUUACAAAAAAAAAACCUACGUCUUCCCCAAUCAUUCAUCCCCAAACUAAGCAUGCACCAACCAUAUCUCAACCUUUAUGAAAUACCUUUGUAUCAGCCCCGUCUCAUUGUCAAUCACACACUACCCCUAUAUAUGUCCCAUCUCCUCAUUCCCAAAGUGGGACAUCUGCACAUAUGCCACAUGAUCCUUCCAUCGAUGAUGAGUCACAAGUAAAUUCAAAGAAUGAGGUAUCAUCUUUAACACCAGAGAACAUCAAAUGGGGUUCAAAGGAUAUCGAUUGAAGAAUUUGGAUAAGAUCGACACCUGAAAAUAACUUUAAACCAGAAUCCAAAGUGAAGGGUGUUAUCACAAAAAUAUUCAAGAAAAAAAAAUUGGAGGGGCGUGGUCAUGUUGGAGUGAUGUGGAUGACGACCCAAUUGGUGCUUAGUUAGAGGACUUUAAGAGGGUGGAGUUGAAUAGAGAUCCAACCAAUUUUGAGGUUUAUGAGCGACUUCAUAGGCCAAAAGAGAAAUCAGAUGAAUGGUUUAAUGAAAAACAAGCAAAGAUAGUUGUAUGUAUACACCAUCCUUAGAGUAAUGUCUUUACCGUUGUUAGACAAAUGACUUGGAUAAAUAAAGUAACAUAUUAAUAUUGAGAGCGAUGGAUAUGCCAAAUGUUGAAGUAAUGUAUUUGAUAAUUGUAAUUAAGAGAUAGACUCAAUUGACAUACAAUUGAGUUACAAAAUGUAUUACUUUAUUGCUAGAACUAAAAAUGAUUAAAGUGAAAUAGUUGGAAAUACAUUCAUCUUGUAUUCCCGAUUUUAAGUUUUUCAUUUUCAUUUUUUAUUUUUUUGGCUUAAUCAAUUUCAUUACACCCCAUUUGUUUUUCUUUUGGUUUAUUCUUUUUGGUUCUCCUUAAGGUAUAUAGAAGGACGGACUCUUCGUUAAAGGAUGUAAUAUGCUCGACUAUAAUUUUUUUUAUUUUUUAUAAUUGUUGUCUUGAUUGUUUCUUCAUCUGAUGAUGAUAUAUGAAUGUUUUUAUUGCUUUGUUGUACCUUGAUUUUCGUUUGGAUAAUGAGUUGUCAUCUUUCUCCUUAUCAUUAUCCUUAUAUCUAUAUUUCAUUUUUUUCAUAUAUUUUACAUAUUUGUUUUAUAUCUCCUUCGUCAUUUGAGCUUGACUAUGUCGGUUGCGGUGACUUGAGUUUCUAGUUAUCAUCAUCUCCAAUGAUUCUAGUCUGAGUAUUUUUGUAGGCUUGCCAACAACAUAAAAUUGCUCUUCGUGUCCAACAAACGUAGUGUUCCAUUGAUAUCUGCAAUCCAAAAAAUAGUUAGUACCAAAUGAUGUUUCUUUGAUAGUUUAAAAGUUGAAUUUUGUAUUGAAAGAAUUAUUACCUGUUAGAUUUACUAUAUCUCCCAAUCUUUGUGCUAGUGAUUUGAAGGAAGUAAACUCACAGUAAUGAUUUUGAAUGAUAAUUUUUGGGUCUUGGAUUUUGGUUA